rnacentral:sRNA from 1 species
UUUUCCAAGUUCUUAGAUCUAGUUUGUUUUCGCCUCUGUUCUUUAUCGUAGGUCUUGGAUUUACAAGACGAAGCAGGAGUGAGGCAAGCUAUCUUCUCCGGCAUUGGAGUGGUGUGGAUUCCGAUUAGCGUGACAGAGGUGGCCCUUUCUUAGAGACGAGAGGCUUCUCUUCCGAUUCUUCCUGGUUAUGGACAUCGACGGAGAUCGGUGGAGUAUUUCUUCGCUCAACUGGUCGGAUAGACGUUGUACCUGCAUGUUGGAAUAUUGAGAUAAAAAGGAAAAACAAAGCAAGAGACAUUUGUCUCUUCUCUUCUAAAGAAGACAAGAACAAAAAUAACCCUUUAUUGAACUGAAACUUGUUGGUGUGUCACUUCCUAUUUGUGACUUUUCAGUGAAACAACACAACUUAUCCAACAAGUAUGAUACAAAACCACACGUGUGAGUAGUCACGUGCGACAUCAAGUGGGAAUUGGGAAAGAAUAAGAGGCGAGCACGUGUCAUCUGCAGAGUGAGGGACUGAAAGAUGCCGUUAGCCGACUAUAUGAGCACUGUUUUAGCUCAUUCCUUUACUUUUAUCGAAUAUCUGUAAUUCCUUAGAAUCUCUGAGAACAUUUUGUGGCUAGAAAUCUCACUUCGAGAUCUAGUGGAUUGUUUGGGUGUUUUAUGAACAUCGAUUCGAUCAUCUUUGUAAUCGGAGGUUACAGAGAAUCAGAAAUUUGCUGUAUUAAAGGUAUCAGAGCCAUUUCUUUCCUCGGAAAACAUGGUUCAAACUCGUUCCCAGGAUGAUUCGAAGGACAAGGGUAAAGAGGUGGAAGGUGCGAAUCCUUUGGAGGAAAGGAUGUUGCGUUUGGAAUCGAUGAUGGAUGCUCACAGUAAGGAGAUGAUGAAACACAUGGCUGAGAUGACGAUGGUGAUGAGUAGAUCCACUGCUCACAAGCUUCGUGAGGAACAUUCGAGUGGAGAGAGGAGCUUACCACGUUCGUCUACCUCGACCGAUGACAGAGUGGGUUAUCAGGAUCAUCGCCGUGACCAGGGACAAGAUCAGGAUCAUCGCCGUGACCAGCAACAAAAUCAGGACCAUCGGCGUGACAAUCGACUAGAUCAGGUCCGUUAUGA